rnacentral:rRNA from 1 species
AGAUUGAACGCUGGCGGCAUGCCUUACACAUGCAAGUCGAACGGCAGCACGGGGGCAACCCUGGUGGCGAGUGGCGAACGGGUGAGUAAUGCAUCGGAACGUGCCCAGUAGUGGGGGGAUAACUAGUCGAAAGAUUAGCUAAUACCGCAUACGACCUAUGGGUGAAAGCGGGGGAUUCGCAAGAACCUCGCGCUAUCGGAGCGGCCGAUGUCUGAUUAGCUAGUUGGCGGGUAAAAGCCCACCAAGGCUUCGAUCAGUAGCUGGUCUGAGAGGACGACCAGCCACACUGGGACUGAGACACGGCCCAGACUCCUACGGGAGGCAGCAGUGGGGAAUUUUGGACAAUGGGCGCAAGCCUGAUCCAGCCAUGCCGCGUGCGGGAAGAAGGCCUCGGUUGUAACCGCUUUGGCAGGAACGAAACGGCGCGAGCAAAUAUCUCGCGUUAAUGACGGUACCUGCAGAAUAAGCACCGGCUAACUACGUGCCAGCAGCCG